ensembl:lncRNA
GUUUUUCAGAAACUUUUGGAGGUCUAAAAACUUGUGUUUUUGCUCAUCCGCACAAGCACCAUGAACCACUUUCUGCCUCGUGACCUGCAGGUUUCCACCCAACUCUGAGGACAAGUCUAUCCUCCGUUGUAAAGUCAAGAGAUUGAGUAAGAGUGGGCUGUUCAAGGUCAGCUUGUGGGCCUGGGCCAGUGGGACGCAGGAUUUAGGGGCAGAGGGCGGCAGGCCUCAGGCCACAGUGCAUGUUUGUGACCUACUCCCCUGUUUGCUGCCCUGGGAGAGUGGCCUUGGUUUCUCUCCCUGAGGUUUAUUUUUUGCUCCCUCUGCUUUGGUCCAAGCCCCAGGACAUGAAAAGGGAGAACAACCCUGCCUGAACUCUACCUCCCUAAAGGUGAGGGGCUGGGGUAUUCACAGGGUAAGGACGCAGCGUGGUCUGAGGUGUGGGGAGAAGGGAAAGGUGAUGGGAAAUAAAAGGUGAGUUUCACUGUUGUUCUGAGCAGGCCUUGACUAAGCUGUGGGUUUUCCACAGGACACUUGUUCAGUAGAUGGAGCAGUUAGCAGCUUCUGAAGGUAGCCUUUUGGUCCCCGAUGUCUCAAAGGUCACUAGGCGGACACUCGUGCGUGCCCAGUGGGAGGCUUGGUGGUCCCAACCAGCCUGAACCAGACACAACUAACUCCAAAUUCUUAGAAAACAACUUGGGCAAACAUCUUAUUGUUUGUGCUCAGUGACGUGUGGAGGACACGCAAGCCUUUUGUGACGGCAGUGAAAGCAAGCUUGAUAAAAUGAGGACAGGUACAGGUGUAAUGGAUUUAACAAUUUCCUUUGGUUUCAAAACCUUAGUAAACAUGAGUGCAUGUAUGCUAAUUCUCUUCAGUUGUGUCUGACUGCGAGUCCAUGGACUGUAGCCCACCAGGCUCCACUGUCCAUGGGAUUCUGCAGGCAAGAACACUGGAGUGGGUUGCCAUGCCCUCUUCCAGGGGAGCUUCCCAACUCAGGGAGUGAACCCACACCUCUUACAUCUCCAGCACUGGCAGGCAGGUUCUUUACCACCAGUGCCACCUGUGAAGCCCUAAUUUCAGUUUCUCCAGGAGCAAAGUAGCUAGUAGCUAGUUCUGGCCCAGUGUCUUUGAUGAGGUUGCCAGUGGCUGGGACGUCCUUGGUGGUCCAGUGGCUAAGACUCCACGCUCCCAAUGCAAGAGGGCCUGGGUUCAAUCCCCAGUCAGGGAACUAGAUCCCACAUGCCAAGACCCAGGGCAGCAAAAUAAAUAAAAAUUUAAAAAGAAGAUGGUGGCUGAGGUUACAGCAUCUGAAGGCUUGGCUUGGGACUCAAGGUUUCCUCCCCUGCUCAGGGGCCCCCUCACGCUCUGGGCAAGCUGGUGCUGACUGUGGGCGCGAGGACUCAGUUCCUCUGCCUGGGGGCCUGUCCACACACCAGCAAAGCUGGAGUCAGCUGUGUCUAGUUCAGCUGCGCAAGAGUCAGCGGUGUCCAGUUUGAGCUGAGCUGGUUGAGACUGGCUGGGACCACUGACCUUUCAACUGAGUGUGCGAACAUGCAAAGGCCUGUUGCUGAGCUAUGCCUGCACAAAGCGACGACCGGGACACCCUUUUCUAUCACCUUUCCCCACGGUCCCGUGUCUCAGACGACCUGCUUCUUCAGUCUUCAUCCCAUAAACACAUAAGCCCCUUGCCUGAGGGGAACCGGAUUUGGGGUUUGUUUUCCCAUCUCCUUGCUUGGUGGCCCUGCUGAUGGAUCCUCUCUUUGCUGCAGACCUUGGUGUCUCAGUGUUUUGGGUUGCGGUGCACCCAGCACGCUGCCUGCUGGGAUCAGCCACAGGGAGGUCUGAGAGGACUUGCCUGACCCGGGCCUACUGUGCCCCCAAAGCUGUGCUGCUCCCUGUGAGAUGCGGGCACCUCUGAUGCUAUGAAAAAGUCACCGCUGGCUAUUCACUGACCCCUGUGGUUUGUGAGGUGGGUGAGAAGCUGAGAGCUGAGCAUCACACCUGGAGAUGGAGCCUGGCGGGAAGACGAGCUCAUGUUGGCAAAGCUGCAUGCUGGCAGAUAACAGCCUCUUUUCCAGCCCUGGGGCAGUUUCCAGCUUCUCCAGUCACGUUCAACCCACAGCUGUAGCCGGAGAAGCCAGAGGGGAGAGAGCUACUCCAACCAUGGGAGGAAGCCUGCUGCUUCCGGAUCCCAUCAUAGAGCCCCGCUGGGGAGGGGCCAGAGUGGGAGCCCCCCACGGUCCUCCAUCCUCGAGCGCAGAGGAGAUGGGAGAGAGGCAGCGGUCUCUGCCUGGGGCUGGUCCACCCUAGCUCAGCUGAAACACAGGCUUCUCCAGCCCCGAGUCCAUGGGGUUGGACAGAAGGCAGUUUGGGGCCCCUCCCACCCAGACUGUGGGGCAGGCCCAGGACGCAUGCCUGUCGUAGAUGCUGGCCCUUCAGGAGUGGCUGCCCUGGGUAGGUUGGGGCUGGGAUGAAAGCCUGAGGCCUGGUCUCUGGGUCACUGUGUUGGGUAACUGCUGGCCAUGUUUGUAGAGCAUGCACACUCUUGUGUUCUGAUCUCUGCAGACCGUCCUUGAAGGAUGUGUGCUCCUGGGUCUGGGUAAUGUUUUUCCUUUCUCUUAAAAGAUAGACUUCUAAGAGCAGCUUUAGGUUCACAGCUAAACUAGGUGGAAAGUGUGACAUUUCAAUAUUCCUCCUCCCUCACACCCGUGGCUUCCCCGUCAUCAUCUCCACCGGUUGGUACUUGUGUUACAACUGAUGACCCCACAUGGACAUGUCAUUAUGACCCAGAGUCCACAGUUGACAUCAGGGGUCACUGUAGGUGGUGUGUGUCCUGUGGGUUUGGCCAAACAAAUAAUGACACGUAUAUUAUACAUCAAUACAGUAUCAUACAGAGAAGUUUCACUGCCCUAAAAACUCUCUGUUCUCCACCUGUUCAUCCCUCCCUCGCCACAAUCCCUCAAAAUCAGACCUUUUUAUCCUUGGCAUAUCUUGCCUUUUCCGUGACAUCAAACUAGUUGCAAUCAUAUAGCGUGUAGCCUUUGUUUCCUCCAUGUCUUCAUGACUUGACAGCUCGCUUAUUUUAGCAUGUAAUAAUAUUCCCAUCUGGAUGCCCUGUAGUUCAUUUAUCCAUCACCUACUGAAGGACACUUUGGUUGUUUUCAAGCUUUGGCAAUUAUGAAUAAAGUCACUGUGAAAAAGCACCCAUGUGCAAGUUUUUGUAUGGACAUGAGCGUCUUAAGAGGCAGGGAGGUGGUUUACUAUCUGGUCCUUGCUGGAAGCUUCCCUUGUAGCUCAGUUGGUAAAGAAUCUGCCUGCCAAUGCAGGAGACCAGUGUUUGAUCCCUGGGUUGGGAAGAUUCCCUGGAGAAGGAAAUGGCAACCCACUCCCGUAUUCUUGCCUGGAGAAUCCCAUGGACAGAGAAGCCUGGCAGGCUACAUUCCAUGGAGUCACAACAGUCGGACAUGGCUUAGUGACUAAACCACCUUGCUGGAAGGUCUCAGGGUCGGGCUGCGUGGAGAAGCUUCCCUGGGGGACCUGGAAACACCUGGUUUCUCACUGGCUUAGCUCCAGGGGGAACCCAUGUCCGUGUGUCUGGGAAAGAGGGCAGGCGAAGGAAGCCACUGAUGGAGAGGGAAAGGAAAGGCAAACGGGAAGAAAAAGAGAGGAAAAGGCUGUGUGGAUUAAACCAGAAUCCAGAUUUUUCUGAUCCUGUUGCCAAACGGUAACAUAGGACACGGAUGUCGAGUCGUUGAGGCAGGUUUGUGUGUCUCUGAGAGGGUAGAGAGUAGACCAUCCGUAUUUGAUGAACAUUCUGCCUUUAUUAUGAAAAGUGAAGCCUGGGGGUUCAGAGGGGGUUAAGAGAUUAAGGACUUGGAUACAAUCCUGGAAUUUCAUUCUUUAUAACUUUUGCACUUUUAAUGAAAAAUUUCAAACAUCUCUUCAAAGAGAUAUGCAGAGUAUAA